rnacentral:lncRNA from 1 species
AUUUAGAUUUAUGGUGCUUGAUUAAAAUAUUUUAUGAUGUUAACACUGGAAAUUUUAAUGGAAAGCUGCGUUAUGCUAUUUUACAGCUAUUAGUGGGGUGACAGGAGAACUUCUAGAGCAGAAUGCUCAUGCCUUCAAUCAAAUAUCUGCAAAUCUUGCAGCUUUUCAGGUGAACUACCGAUGAAAGCACUUAGAAAGCAGU